rnacentral:rRNA from 1 species
GACAGAGGAUGCAAGCGUUAUCCGGAAUGAUUGGGCGUAAAGAGCUCGUAGGCGGUUUUGUCGCGUCUGCUGUGAAAAACGCGGGGGCUCAACUCCGCGCCUGCAGUGGGUACGGGCAGACUAGAGUGCAGUAGGGGAGACUGGAAUUCCUGGUGUAGCGGUGGAAUGCGCAGAUAUCAGGAGGAACACCGAUGGCGAAGGCAGGUCUCUGGGCAUUAACUGACGCUGAGGAGCGAAAAGCAUGGGGGAGCGAAUGGG